ensembl:lncRNA
CCCUGUGCUUCCUAGCUCAACUAGCUGUGGGGACCUCGGGAAGCACAGAGGCUCACAAGUAUUUGUGAAGUUGCUAAAGGAAAGACUGCAGUAUUUCCACCAGAUUUUUGAUGGCCAGAGUCCCUUCUAGAGACAAAAUGAGAAUGCAGAGAACAGUAACUCCUCAUCUGGAAGAUGCAGACCCUGCUGUGAAGUGCUGUAAGUGAACCAGAUGCAAAGGAAAGCACCGAGAGGCAAACUGGCUUUCUUUGUCACCCAAGAGGGCACUGGCCAAGCCUGAAUCAGGGCUUAGCUCAUGUCCAGCACUCACAGUCAUCCUUUCCUUCUGCUGCUAAACAGCAUUUACUGGAACCCCCGGCAUGGAGCUCUGUAUCCAGACAGUUAAAUGCAGGUCAGCAGUGCUGCACAACGGAAGGACGGGAGUUAUGCUGCUUUUAGCCGGAUGGCUUGAUGAGCUGCAAGGCAUGUCUGUUGUCAGUACUCAGUGCAGCACAGAGACAAAUGCCUUUUUGAUUUUUCUCCAUAAAGGAAGAGUACGUCUUGUGUAGUAGCUUGGGUACAAUGCCCUGACAGUGAGCAUAGGAGCUUGGAAGAAAGUAUAAAGGGAUACAGUGAAAGUUGAGCUCUGCAACAUCUCUUUUUCUGUUGCACUCCAGUUUCUAUGAUCCAAUUGCUGCCAUGGCUAAAAUAAGAAAUAGGGGAUGAGAAACAUCCUGCUCUUCUGAGAAUAUGCAUAUAAGGGACGUUGUCAAUCUCAGGUGCAAAUAGCACGUGAUCACUUGUACAAUAGGCAGAGAUCUAAUGAAGGCUUCUCAAGGUUUCCCUGUAGCCUAUAAAGUAGUCAGGCUACUCUACUUUUGAUGUAAACAGACC